rnacentral:rRNA from 1 species
GAUGAACGCUGGCGGCGUGCCUAAUACAUGCAAGUCGAGCGAACAGACGAGGAGCUUGCUCCUCUGACGUUAGCGGCGGACGGGUGAGUAACACGUGGAUAACCUACCUAUAAGACUGGGAUAACUUCGGGAAACCGGAGCUAAUACCGGAUAAUAUAUUGAACCGCAUGGUUCAAUAGUGAAAGACGGUUUUGCUGUCACUUAUAGAUGGAUCCGCGCCGCAUUAGCUAGUUGGUAAGGUAACGGCUUACCAAGGCAACGAUGCGUAGCCGACCUGAGCGGGUGAUCGGCCACACUGGAACUGAGACACGGUCCAGACUCCUACGGGAGGCAGCAGUAGGGAAUCUGCCGCAAUGGGCGAAAGCCUGACGGAGCAACGCCGCGUGAGUGAUGAAGGUCUUCGGAUCGUAAAACUCUGUUAUUAGGGAAGAACAAAUGUGUAAGUAACUAUGCACGUCUUGACGGUACCUAAUCAGAAAGCCACGGCUAACUACGU